rnacentral:rRNA from 1 species
GAACUGAAGAGUUUGAUCAUGGCUCAGAUUGAACGCUGGCGGCAGGCCUAACACAUGCAAGUCGAGCGGAUGAAGGGAGCUUGCUCCUGGAUUCAGCGGCGGACGGGUGAGUAAUUCCUAGGAAUCUGCCUGGUAGUGGGGGAUAACGUCCGGAAACGGGCGCUAAUACCGCAUACGUCCUGAGGGAGAAAGUGGGGGAUCUUCGGACCUCACGCUAUCAGAUGAGCCUAGGUCGGAUUAGCUAGUUGGUGGGGUAAAGGCCUACCAAG